AAAUCAAUAAAUGAAAGGAUAGACAAACAAAAAAUUUAAAAUAUAAAUAAAUGUAUAAAAUCAUAAGCAUUAAAUAAAACUCUUAAUGUCUUUUUAAAAAAAAUGUUCUUCAUCAAAUCUGUGAUCCACUCCCAGAAUUUUACUCUGAAGCAUUAGAUAGGGAUUGGCACACUGGUCAGUUUCAGUGUCAUGAUAACCUCUUAUGUAAUUCUCCUGCUGGGCAGCGCGUUACAGAGUAUAGUGGUUUGCUGCUUAUCUAGGCCAAAUUUUGAAUUCUGGUAAACAAGAUGUGCGCGCUUACUCCGUGCCGAUUUGAAUGAGAAGACUUUGCACCAUAUAAACCACAAUAAUAACCUCGGGAUUUAUUAACUUUGAAUGCAUGGUGUUGGUUGCAUCAUCCGUAUUUUCAAAUUCCCACAUUCAAAAGACCCGCCUUUGGUGAAGGCAAAGGUAUUGUGCUAUUCUCUCCGAGGGGCAGUAUCUUAUCAGCCUUUUCAGUGUAUGUGAUUCUAACUAAGUCUUAUAGAUCCGCCGCUCUGUUCUACCUAUACCAUGUUUACAGUGAACAUAGGAUUUCUGUGAUUCUGUUCUUUUAAAAUUCAGUGAAUGGAUUAGACGCCGUUUUCAACCUUUAAAAACCCGGUGACUUGAAAUAAUAUGAAUUAAAACUUGUACCGAGA